GAUGAACGCUGGCGGCGUGCUUAACACAUGCAAGUCGAACGGUGAAGCUCCAGCUUGCUGGAGUGGAUCAGUGGCGAACGGGUGAGUAACACGUGAGCAACCUGCCCCUGACUCUGGGAUAACAGCCGGAAACGGCUGCUAAUACCGGAUAUGCACCAUGAACGCAUGUUCUGUGGUGGGAAAGAUUUUUCGGUUGGGGAUGGGCUCGCGGCCUAUCAGCUUGUUGGUGAGGUAAUGGCUCACCAAGGCGUCGACGGGUAGCCGGCCUGAGAGGGUGACCGGCCACACUGGGACUGAGACACGGCCCAGUCUCCUACGGGAGGCAGCAGUGGGGAAUAUUGCACAAUGGGCGAAAGCCUGAUGCAGCAACGCCGCGUGAGGGAUGACGGCCUUCGGGUUGUAAACCUCUUUUAGCAGGGAAGAAGCGAGAGUGACGGUACCUGCAGAAAAAGCGCCGGCUAACUACGUG
rnacentral:rRNA from 1 species